CGAGACCUCAGGUCAGGCGGGGCUACCCGCUGAAUUUAAGCAUAUCAAUAAGCGGAGGAAAAGAAACUAACAAGGAUUCCCUUAGUAACGGCGAGCGAACCGG
rnacentral:rRNA from 5 species